GGUGGCUCAGUGGUAGAGUGCUUGUCUUGCAAUCAUGAGGCCCUGGGUUCCAUUUCACAGCACCA
rnacentral:tRNA from 1 species